AUUGAACGCUGGCGGCAUGCCUUACACAUGCAAGUCGAACGGUAACGGGCCUUCGGGUGCCGACGAGUCGCGAACGGGUGAGUAAUACAUCGGAACGUGCCCAAUCGUGGGGGUUAACGAGGCGCAAGCGGUGCUAAUACCGCAUACGAUCUACGUACAACAGGGGGGGACCGCAAGGCCACACGCGGACGGAGCGGACGAUGCCAGAGUCGGUCGACUGUGUGAUACAAGCUCUCCAAGCCCACUAUCUGUAGCUGGACUGCGAGGAUGAUGAACCACACUGGCACUAAGAAACGGCCCAGACUGCUACAGGAGGCAGCAGUGGGGACUUUUACACAAUGGGCGCAAGCCUGCUACAGCCAUCCCCCGUGCAGCAUGACGGCCUUCGGGUUGUAAAGUGCUUUUUUGCGGAACGAAGCGGCUUCUUAUAAUACAGGCGGGUCAUGACGGUGCCGGAGGAAUAAGCCCCUGCUCACUACGUG
rnacentral:rRNA from 1 species